rnacentral:rRNA from 1 species
ACUCCUACGGGAGGCAGCAGUGGGGAAUUUUGGACAAUGGGGGCAACCCUGAUCCAGCAAUGCCGCGUGAGUGAAGAAGGCCUUCGGGUUGUAAAGCUCUUUUGUCAGGGAAGAAACGGUGGUUCCUAAUACGAGCUGCUAAUGACGGUACCUGAAGAAUAAGCACCGGCUAACUACGUGCCAGCAGCCGCGGUAAUACG